rnacentral:misc_RNA from 1 species
GAAAAAAUGCAUAAAUUUGAUUUUCACACAACCAACCCGAUGAAUAUGGAGCUAGAACAGCAGAUGUUGGAAUAUCCAGGAGAACAGAUUUUAGAUAACGCUCAACAUGUUCCGUCUCUGACCCCUGCACCAAAACGAAGGUUAUACGCUGCAUUUAAAAAAGAUCCCAAACAACGCAUCAAAAGUGACUGUGUUGGAAAAAACGAUGCAUUAAAAGACAUCACACCACAAGUAUUGGCCCGACGUGAAAAACAAAGAGAAGUUGUGUUCCAGCACGGUGCAAGUGGACAACAGCCACAACAUAAUCGGAAUGUGCCCAGAGAAUUCACGAUGAGACAGAAUUCCGGAGCAGCCCAGGACUAUUAUGUUACUUUAGUGGUUGUGGUUGACUACAGUAUCUAUAUGAGGUUUUACAAUGCCAGUACUGAGAGAGAUGUCAGAGCUCGAGACCAAGACGCCAAGUCUAAGAUACGGAUGUACUUUGCUCACAUUGUUAACGGGAUUGAUUUACGCUAUGCCAACAUCAGAGAACACGAUUUUGCAAUCAACGUUGCUGUCACGGAAUACGUUAUCGCCGAUCAUCCAAAUUUUUCUCCAUGGACCAACACAUAUGUCAAUCCGGAAAUGAAAUAUGUCGGAGUUUGGGACGCUCUGAACAAAUUGGUUGAUUGGAGAGAUACGAUGAUUAAACAUUUACCUCCUCAUGACCAUCUCAUGUUGUUCACAGGGGAAAACCUAUAUGAAACGCGAUCUGAUGACCCAUCUGUGACAGGAUACGCCCAUGUUCGCACCGUUUGUACGAAAAAGAGUGCAUCAAUCAACGAAGACCUUGGUGGAUUUGGAGGAAUAAUUACUGCAACACACGAGUUGGCACAUAGCUUGGGUGCCAAUCAUGAUGGAGAGACGAACUUUUGUCUGCCGACAGAUCAAUACAUUAUGACUGCAAUGGGAGGCGAUACCAAUCAAGCCAACAAACUUAAUCCUUGGAAGUUCUCAGACUGUUCCGUGGCAUAUUUUAGAGAUUAUAUUGAAGAACUGAACAAAAAUAAAGAGAACUGUAUGACUGAUAGACCUAUGGACAUUGAUCCAAACUUUCACGAGGUCAUCAAAGAAAUGCCAGGUCAAAUAUUAGGCCCUAACGAACAAUGUAAGGAAAAGCUGGGAUCUGGGUCCUUUUACGGCUGGAAUGGUGGUCUGGGCCGUUAUCAAGAUAUUUGUACAAACAUGGCUUGCAAAAACCCAAAGAAAAGAGAGAGUUUUCAUUUAUACAACGCAGCAAGAGGAACGUCCUGUGGAAAUAAAAAAUGGUGUAUAAAUGGAGAAUGUGUUUUUGACAGAAACGCCCCCGAGAAAAAUGAUAACUGUGUCCAUGGUGACUCGAUGAAGCCGUUUCCAAAUAACGGAACUUGCGCUGAACUUGUUGCUAAUAGACCAUCCAGAUGUUACAACAGAGAGUAUAGGGAGUUCUGUUGUGGAAGCUGCAAUGCCAAAUUUACUGGGAAAAAAGGCUGUGAGUAUGGUGAUAAAGUGGCAUCUUGUGUUUUGGUCAAGUCCCGACCAUAUUUGUGUUAUGAUACAAAGAACAGUCAGCUUUGUUGCGUCGGAUGUGCAUCACAACAUACUGGUAUCAAAGGUUGUGAAUAUGGCGACAGAAAAACUGGCUGUAAAAAAGACCAAUGUCACACAAGAGAUCACCAGUUAAACUGUUGUAAAACUUGUGGAAUACAAAGUCAGAUCUCGCAGACAUCUGUAAGGCCAACAAUUUCAGUAUCUAACCAAAACAGCCAUCCUUCUUCAUUGACAACCAGAAGACAAUCAACUGGCCCAACAGACAUGAAACCAAUUCAGAAUGUCAACAAACAUUCAAUUCUUCCUACCACGACACACAUGAUCCCAUUCUCAUCCACCAGAUUUAGUCUUAAGAUUGGAGGUAAUAGACAAGAGGGCACACCGACCCAAAACAAAGUACAAGAGCUUCCGGCUUGGCAACAAAAAACUACACCAGUUGAUGAAUUAAUUCCUGAUCCAUUUGCACCAGGGUAUUGUGUAAAAAAGAAUGCACAUUACCGACCGGACGUUCCGUGUGAAUUCUUGGCAAAAUGGUUAUCUUUAUGUACUGAGACAAGAUUCAAAAAUGCAUGUUGCCAAACGUGUAAUAUUGAUCGCACCAGGAGAGUGAAACGUUGUGUGGAUAAUGAAUUCUGCAUUGCACGAACGGGGGCAGACUGUUAUAAAAAAGAAACGCGAGACAACUGUUGUGCUACCUGCAGCAAAUUUGAAACUGGUUUUAUGUUAUGUCCAUAUGGAGACAAAGAUGCAAGAUGUGGUCUUAUGAUGCGACUUAAUAAGAAAUUUUAUUGCGAAAACUAUGGAUCUACUUGUUGUGAAUCUUGCUUUAAAACAGACCGUAGACCAGAAGUGACUACUCCAUUUCCUUUAUUCAUCAGUGCAAGAAGACCAAAUACUGCUGCUGCCAAUAGAGUCAGAAGUCAGACUCAAACUCAGUCAGAGCCAAGAGUUGCGGCCUCUAGAAGUUCUACCUCAACUGCAAAUAAUUAUGAAAAGGUUCGAGAAAACCUUAAACGAUUCGUAACCUUUAUAAACCAAAUUUUCUCUAGAAGCAAAAGUGUAGGUUGAGAAAAAUCACAACAAAACUCAAUAUUUUAAAGAAGGUUUAUUUAGCUUUUUAUCCAACAUUCUACUGUUUCUCAAGUUGGACCAAUUCUUUGGGAGAGCAAAUGUGUAGCUUUCAGUUUCAAAAAAUACUUUUAAGAAGUGCUUCAUUCAAGCCGUGGAGGAUGUCCGGAAAGUCAUUUGCUGAUAACUAUAAUGUUAAAGCGGAAAAAAGACUUGCCAGUGUGACAAAAGUUUUAUUUCAAGAGUCUUUGAUUUCCAACCCUCAAAGAAGGCUGAAAGAGUGUAUUUGGUCAUCAUCUUUACUCCAUAGUCCCAAACAAACACUGACGCGCAUAUUUGGUCAUUUUUACAUCAUCUUACACCUGUCUCGGCAUGUUUUUUAACACCUAACUUCUAUCUCAUGAGUAUACGUUUCUUUUUUUAACAAAUAUAAAACAAUGUUUAGAUACUUGUUAUGAACAAAGUAUUUACACAGUUUAAACACUAACAUAAAUUGUAACGUUAUGAUUUAUAUAAGGUCCUUUCAGGAACAUCAUAUGAUAUAUUUUUUUGAAUUCUCCUAAGGGCAUGUUUUAUGGCCAACUCAUUAUUAUUUAUUAGUAUUUCAGUUGCUUUCGUUUUGUUUUUGUUGACUUGUUUUGAUUUUUAUUUGAUCGUAUGUUUUAUUUAUUGAAUUAUCAUAUUUUUUUGUUUUGUAUCUGUUUAAAUUAACAUAAUAAAAAAUUAAAAUGC